AUUGAACGCUGGCGGCAGGCCUAACACAUGCAAGUCGCACGAGUGGCGGACGGGUGAGUAAUGUCUGGGAAACUGCCCGAUGGAGGGGGAUAACUACUGGAAACGGUAGCUAAUACCGCAUACCAUCGGAUGUGCCCAGAUGGGAUUAGCUAGUAGGUGGGGUAACUGCUCACCUAGGCGACGAUCCCUAGCUGGUCUGAGAGGAUUACCAGCAACACGGGAACUGAGACACGGUCCAGAAUCCUACGGGAGGCAGCAGUGGGGAAUAUUGACCAAUGGGCGCAAGCCUGAAGCAGCCAUGCCGCGUGUAUGAAGAAGGCCUUCGGUUUGUAAAGUACUUUCAGCGAGGAGGCGUUACUCGCAGAAGAAGCACCGGCUAACUCCGUGCCAGCAGCCGCGGUAUAC
rnacentral:rRNA from 1 species